GAACCUGGGUCUCCUGCACUGCAGGCAGAUUCUGUACCAUCUGAGCCACCAGGGAAGGCCCACUAGGCAAAGGGGAGUGACUUAGACCAGCAGUAAUUUAUUCCACAGGGUUGGACACAUUGCAACCAACAAACCAGAUGGAAGAGCAUAACAAGCGACGGAGCAGUAACCAAAGGUGUGUGCUGUAUCACCUUUAGAAAUCAAUUUGAAGAAUAGAUUCCAGUGCUAGGAUGUUAUCUCGCACCAAGAUGGCAUUCCUAAGGAUUGGGCAUUCAUGUCCAUAACAGCUCGGAGGAUAAAGAAAACUAAGAAGAAAGUGAAGUCACUCGGUCGUGUCCGACUCUUUGCGACCAUGUGCGCUGUAGCCUACCAGGUUCCUCCAUCCACGGAAUUUUCCAGGCAAGAGUGCUGGAGUGGUUUGCCAUUUAUCUUCCUGACCCAGGGAUCGAACCUUGGUCUCCCACAUUGCAGGCAGAUNNNNNNNNNNNNGAGCCACCAGGGAAACCCCAAAGAAACCAGAAAGUUUAAAGAAAGGCAGAGCUUUAAGACCUUGAAAAUAUUUGUUCUUAAUUCCUUAACCCUCAAAGAUCAUUUCAAGGAAAUGAUCCCCAGAUAGGGUAGUAUAGUUGAUUAAAAUAAUAUAAAAGCCUUCAAGGACAAAUGUUUUUCUUACUGAUUAACUUAGAGGACUAUAUCUUGCUUCCCUCCUGCCCCACAAAUAUUUUCUCAGGCAACAUGGAUUUCUUUCAUUCAUGGUUGGAUUUUCUGAGAAGCAGCUGUACUGUAGCUAUUUUGUGUUGUGAAUCUAACAAAAACCACGUGGUGUAAACCCAGAUUUGAAGGGGCAAAGUUCUCUCUCGGAUGUGUAUACUUGAGUAUCUGAAGGUGAAGUCUAGCCAAUCAAAAGAUCAACAUAUCAGCAUAGGAGUUAGCUAGUAUGCUGGUAUUUAUGCAUAGAGUCAACGUUUUCUCAGGAAAGAACUUUGGAUUUUUUUUAACGAGUUACAGUAAGUAAUUGGUUAAGAGUCUAAAUGUUGGUAUCAUAGAGCAUGAUUCUUGAAAACAUUUUAAGUCAGAUUGGACCAAUUAGGAACUCUACUGGGAGACUGUAAAAAGUCAGGAAAAGCCAUAAGACAGCUUCAGUGGAUAUCUGAAAAAAAAUGUAUAUAGAAAGUCUUAUCCAUAGCCUUGGUUUUAAUUACCUCCUGUAUAUCAAGAGAACUCUCAAAUUUGUGCUUCUGGUCAAGAUCAGUCUUACAAACCCUAUACUUACAUAUAUCACUACCAGUUCCACAGCUCUAAUGAAUGUCUCAUCAUUUUGAACUCAGUAACUGAAAUGGAAUUCAUAUACUUCCAACCUGACUGUUUUUUUCUGAAGUGUAGUUGAUUUACAAUAUUGUGUUAAUUUCAGGUGAAGACAAAGUGAUUCAAUUAUAUAUAUACANNNNNNNNNNNNNNNNNNNNNNNNNNNNNNNNNNNNNNNNNNNNNNNNNNNNNNNNNNNNNNNNNNNNNNNNNNNNNNNNNNNNNNNNNNNNNNNNNNNNNNNNNNNNNNNNAUACAGUAGUGUGUAUAUGCUAAUCCCAACCUGACUCUCUUCGGUGUUUCCUCUCUGAGUGGAAUGGCCCACCCAGGGCAGGCAUCAGAGCCCCAGGGGAUACUUUGAAUCAUUCUUCCCUUUCCUGUCUCCCCCUCCUCUUUCAACAAACUGCUCUUUUUUCUAUUUCCUUUGCCAAAAUUGGUUCCUGCCAAAAGUCUUUUUUCAUCGAAAUGACUGAGAAAUCCUCUAGCUAGUGACCUAGAUUUCACUCUUGCCUAGGCACAGCCCAUUCUCCACGUUAGAAGCUGGAGUGAUAGUUUAACAUUUCAGUCUGAUCAUGUCAUUCCCUUUAUUGAAAAAUUUCAGUGACUUCCUAUUACUUUAAAAAUCAGGAUACAAAUCCUUAAUGUGGCUAAAAGGUACCCAUGUGAUCAGACUCAUCUCUAGCACUCAUAUUCUUCUAAAACCAAGUGCCUACUUGCCUUGAGUCUUUCAUACACAUGUACACACACAUACGUGCACAUGCAUACGAGCAAGCACUCAACCUCUGACUAACUUCUAUUCUACUUUCAAGUUCUGCUCAACACACUUCCUAACAGAAACUUUCCCUGCUACUUCUGACAGAUUCACCCCAUUGUAAUUUUUAUAGUACCCUAUAUUUGCCCUUUCUAAUACUUAUCACACUUUAAUUAAGUAUGUAACUAGUUUUUAAGAUCUUUUCCUUUUGUUUGACAUAAAUUUCAAAAAAGUAGUUGACAUUUCUUUUUUUUUUUUAUUCACGCUAUAUACCAGUGUCUGAAACAGUGCUUUGCAUAAAAUAGGUAUUGGGUUAAUUAAGAAAGAAUUGAUGAACCACCUGUGUAAGUUAGGGCAAAAUGCCAUUCUAAAUAGUUAUAUGAUUUUUACCUUGUGGAAAUUAUUGUACUUUAAUAUUGCUAUUUCUAUUUCCUUUGCAGAUAAAUAAAUUUUAAACAAAAUUUUUAGAAGAGGAUGGGCAUUUCCAUGUACUGAAUGCUUACAGUGUAGAAGGGCUUUAGAUCAUCAAGUGAUACUAAUUCUAGAGUAAUUCUCACAAUUGCCAGUGAGAAUUCAUGAGACAGGAAUGGAGACCCUGAAGAUAAGAGGACCAUAGUUACAGAGUUAUCAAAUGACAGAGAUGGCAAUAAUUCAAAGGUCUCAACAAGUAAGUUCACAUUUUGGAAACAACAGGACCAAAUUUAUCUUCUGACUAUGGAUAAUAUCUUUUAUGUUGUAUGCAUUCAAUAAAUAUUUAUGAACAAUUAUGCCAACUUAUUUAGAUUUUUAUUAAAAAAAAGAUGCUGAGAUCUAGGUCUAUUUGACUCAAG
ensembl:lncRNA